CUAAAUAUCUUGAUAGCUAGCUAAAUAUAAUUUGAAACAAAAUAUUAACUUAGCUAAAUAUUUAGCUAAUAUGCAAAUUUACUUGCUAAUAACCGGAAGUGAACUAUCAAAAUAAGAGUUUGGUCUUAUGAACUUCUUAAUAAACUCCUGCUGGUGAGACUGAAUGGUUUCCUGACGUGUUUUCAUCGUUUCUUUUCCUGUUUUCUUGGUUGAGCCAUUUUGAAGGCAACCCAGACAUUGAUCAACGGACCUGCAGCAACAGGAUUCAGCAACAUUAACCAUACAGGUCCGAUCUACAAGCUGAGGUGAAGCCAGACGCAGCGCCAGCCCUGAGAUCCGCCGGCCUGAGUUUCCCUCCAGGCCGUUCCCGGGAUGAAGGCUCCAGUAUUCCAGGCUUCAUGUGACUCCGGCAAUCACCUCCUCAUUCACCACACUGGCAUCGGUGGUUUUCAGGCCUGAACGAUAACUCAGCUGCUCAGGGUUGACUUUAAUCAUCACCGUCACACUGCGGUGAUUCGCGGAUUUUCUCCUUCCAGUCAACAAAGCCUGUUUACAGUCACAGCAGGUCAGGACCCAUCCGCUGACGUCCGGCGCUCGGGAGAUGACUGACUUUCAUAAUUCAGCUUUUAAUAUCAAAAAUGAAGUUGGGAGUCAGGAACUUUUACUUCAUUACUUUUUAAUUUUCUUUCCAAGUAAACACACUUUCUAGUAAUCCUGCUGACUAACAGAAACUUCAUGCUUUUCUCCAGGUUUUCUUUGAAAAUGUUUUGCAGUUUGAGUAUUUGACCAUUUCCACCAUGUCUGGCUGCUGGUUUAUGACUGGAACCAACCAGCCUCAGAGACUUUGAUGUCUCCUAAACAUGAAGAGACCCGUUGAUUGGACCAAAACAGAACUUUCUUACAGAGCCAGCUUUAUAUCGGAUCUUUGGGUUCUAACGCCGUUUGGUUUUUACUGGCUGCUCAGAUGAGCAAAACGAACAUUUAGAUACAAACUUUCAGUAAUUAUUAACCAUUAGUACUAUUUAUGUGUUUGUAUUAUUUAAAUAUUUAUUCUGGGAAGAGAUGGAGAUUUGAGUCACAAAAAUAAAUAACUUGACUUGGACUUGUGUUCUGAGACUCGAGUUUUCCUGUGAAAAGUUGAGUUUAAAUAGCCAGUGAAGUUGGCAGAUUAUUAUGGGAUGUUAAGGCUUCGUAUUAAUCAUUUCCUUUUAGUUGUGUCUUCAUAUUAAUGAAAGUCUCUCCAGUUGAAUGUGUUAAAUGGUUUUGGUCAUUUCAGAGAGAAAUAAACGUAACUGACCUUCAACUUUCUCUCCUGCUGCAUCAAAAGGACACUUCCUGUUGGAAAUGUCAAAAUAAGAGCACUGUUCAUUCAGAAGUUCAAUCAGCCGGUAGUACUGUGUUUAUUAAUCUCCGAAAUAUUUACUAUUUGUCAUGCCGGACCCCCAUCUUGCACAUUUACUGAUAUUUUAUCCGUUCUUGGAUUAUAGUCUGAGUUUUGGAUCCGAUUUGUAUAUGAAUAAUACAUUUUGUUGUAAUUUAUACCCUAAACCUGAAUGUAUUUUCUAUUUAAAAUCGUGAAAAGUUUUAGAAAACUGUGGCGUAUUUACCCGGAUUUAUCUGAGUUGGUACGAGCCUUAUUCUGACACACUGCGCAUGUGCAGGUUCUCUCGGCGUUUACCAUGGAAAUGCCACAAAAAUAAAGAUAUACGGAAAACGGUCGGAGCCUCUUCUGUUAAUUAAGACAUUACAGAAAUAAUUCCCCAACAUUAUUAAAACUUCUCCAGGUCAGAGUUUGGAAAUCCGUCCAAACCAAUUUGGAUUAAUAAAUUACGCAGAUUUUAACGCGUUAAAUUAUUAUUUUUAAUACAAAGACUCGGGCCGCAGCUGCCCUGGUUCCGUUGUGUUCAGGUUGUGCUAAGGAGUUAGCCUGUUAGCGAAGCUAUUCAGGGAUAAACUGGCGUCUUAAUGCUAAACCUGCUAGCAGCAGAUGCUAACGCUAAUGUCAGCGUCUUCAUUUCUAGAAGCUCCAAAAUCUGAAUAACUUUAACAACUAUAAAUAUUAACUGCUAUUCCUCCAUCUUUAGUUAUUCUCGCUCAUUUCUGCGUGUUUAUGUUCUGGUUCUGACCCAUUUGGACCGGGCUGGAGAUUUUUUCUGUUGCAAAAACACAGAAAACAAACCAAGAGAAAACAGAAGAAACGACGCAGCCCUCGUAGAUAACUGUUUUUUAUUUGCACGUCCACUGAGUGUUAACAAACCCAACACAGAGGUUAGCAUCCAGGUCUACAGCAGGGGGCGCUCAAACACACGAAAGCUCUGAGGACAACAGACAGGAAGGAAACCAGCGAACAAAUUCACAUCUGUACAAAUCUACAGUGUGUUGGUCUGCGGGGAGCUCCGCUCAGAGGAAAGCUGCAAAAGGUUCAGGUGAGGCGCAGAUUUACACGAGUUAAUGUCUGUGGAGCAGCUGCGGCUGGAUUAACGUUAAACAGACUAAACUGCAUCAGCAGUCCGCGUUAAACCCAAACUGGCUUCUCUCUGGUCACAGAGCCGAGGGAAACAGAACCAAGCGGGGAAACGGCGCCAUCUGGUGGCGGAUCGCUCACAAGGAUCAACGGGGAGGAGGGAAGAGGCGGACGGCGUGAAGCAGAGAACAGAUGAGGCUGCGCCCCCAGGAAAAGGUCAAAACUUCAUU